rnacentral:rRNA from 1 species
UACAGAGGGUGCGAGCGUUGUCCGGAAUCACUGGGCGUAAAGGGCGUGUAGGCGGCUGGGUAAGCCGCGUGUGAAAUCCCGGGGCUCAACCUGGGAACUGCGCUUGUAACUGGCAAGCUAGAGUGUGGCAGAGGGGGGUGGAAUUCCACGUGUAGCAGUGAAAUGCGUAGAGAUGUGGAGGAACACCGAUGGCGAAGGCAGCCCCCUGGGCUAACACUGACGCUCAUGCACGAAAGUGUGGGGAGCAAACAGG